GAAAUGCGAUACGUAGUGUGAAUUGCAGAAUUCAGUGAAUCAUCGAAUCUUUGAACGCACAUUGCGCCCUUUGGUAUUCCAAAGGGCAUGCCUGUUCGAGCGUCAUUUGUACCCUCAAGCUUUGCUUGGUGUUGGGCGUCUUUUGUCUUUGGCCUCGCCCAAAGACUCGCCUUAAAACGAUUGGCAGCCGGCCUACUGGUUUCGCAGCGCAGCACAUUUUUGCGCUUGCAAUCAGCACAAGGACGGCAAUCCAUCAAGACUACAUUUUUACGUUUGACCUCGGAUCAGGUAGGGAUACCCGCUGAACUUAAGC
rnacentral:misc_RNA from 1 species